rnacentral:siRNA from 1 species
UCGUCUAAACGAUCGUGCAUA